AUUGAACGCUGGCGGCAUGCCUUACACAUGCAAGUCGAACGGCAGCGGACCUUCGGGUGCCGGCGAGUGGCGAACGGGUGAGUAAUAUAUCGGAACGUACCUUUCAGUGGGGGAUAACGUAGCGAAAGUUACGCUAAUACCGCAUAUUCUGUGAGCAGGAAAGCAGGGGAUCGCAAGACCUUGCGCUGAUUGAGCGGCCGAUAUCAGAUUAGCUAGUUGGUGAGGUAAAGGCUCACCAAAGGCGACGAUCUGUAGCGGGUCUGAGAGGAUGAUCCGCCACACUGGAACUGAGACACGGUCCAGACUCCUACGGGAGGCAGCAGUGGGGAAUUUUGGACAAUAGGGCGCAAGCCUGAUCCAGCCAUGCCGCGUGAGUGAAG
rnacentral:rRNA from 1 species